rnacentral:tRNA from 1 species
UCCCUGGUGGUCAACAGUGGCCAAGACUCUGAACUCCCAAAGCAGGGGACCCAGGUUCGAUCCCUGGUCAGAGAA